GAAAUUGAUAGGAGCGGUUGAAGCAUUUGACUUUUCAUAGUAUUAUUUAGGCGUCCAAGUGCUUAUCUUGAUGGUAUCUAAUAUAAUUGGUAUUCAUUCAUGGUAUCUUGUAGUUACUUGAUCAUAUUGUUAUUCAAGGGGAAAACUCUUAAAUAUAUUUAUAUGUUUUUUUCCCACCUUCACGUUGGAUAUUCCAUAAAGAUUGCUGAACAUUUAUGUGAUUUCUUCAGGAGGAAGAUAAAGUAAGGCUGGUGCAGGAAACUGGUCUGUAAUUAAAGCAGAUCAGAGGAAGAGGAAUUGGCACAAUAAUCCUUCUUCUACUAUCUUGAAGAGCAAGUGCAAAAGGUAUUUUCUUAAUUUGAGUCAAGAGCUAUGGUCUAACUUAGUUGGUGCAUCUUAUUAUGCAAAGGGUUGCAGUGAAGGCAAAGCGUCUCGAAUUUUAUAUGUGUCUAGUGAAGAGAGCCUUGAGCAAAUUGGUAACAGAGCAGAACGCCUUAGGAUUGAAUCAGAUAUAUAUUUAUAUUCAAGUACUGAUAUUGAGGUG